rnacentral:lncRNA from 13 species
AGCCUCUACCCCUCGUCACUCCCCCAGAGCUUCCCCAUUGGUCCCCGUUCCCUGGUCCCGCCUUUUCCCCACCCCCGGAUAAAACUGUGAGUUUUGGGAUCAUGUUGGUAUUUGCCUCUGCACCCUUCGGCAGUGUAGCAGCAAUAAAUGCUCCUGUCUGAUCGCACACAAAUGCCCUUCUCGGCUCUGUGCUACCGACUGUAACACUGAACCCACCCGUGCGGCUGUGGGGGCACGCGGGACCCCACGGAGCCGGGACGGAGACAGUAAUAAUGGAGUAUUUCUAGUAGAUUAUGCAGCACAGCAGCAACUCACCGUGAUCAGGUACAACAGGAACUGGAUGAAAAAAUCACUAAGGAACUCAAAGAAGCCACUGCUGAACUUGAAACUGGAUGCGCUGGAUUCCAGAAAACCUUCACGUGCACCAGGUUCCCUUUUGAAUGAACUGCUAUGGGAAGUCUCUGGAUAACUUUUUUUUUUUUUAAUAGUGCAUCUAUUGUAUCCCUUGUGCCCAGUUCAGAUGUGAAAACGUGUUUCUUGCAAGUUUUAUUUAACAUUUAGUCUUAAAUAAAAAUCGGUAGUAGUGAUUUUGGCAUAUGGUCUUGCUUGCAUCUGUAUUCGGGCAGAGGUAUCUCUCAAAGAAUUUUAAUGAGCUGAUCUUCACAGCCGGAGGCCAGGCAAAUGUGUCCCUGUCCUGCAGGGGACUUGAAGCACAGUUGGAUCAAAAUCGUGGGCUCAAGCUCAGCUAUUGCUAGUUAUCGGUUGCCAGACUGUGAAAAACGGGAUCACAAUCUUGAUCGUUCAAAGAAUUUAUUAAACACCGAACCAAUUGAUUAAAAAUAUAGACGAUUGGAAACCCCUGCGGCGGUCUGCCUGGCACAAAACAAAGCGCACCGACCCGCAACGAGAUGCCACCAGAAGCACGCCCACAACCUAGGGGCGAUACAUUUUAUAGCCCCGAAACCCCGCCCUUAGACCGCCCAUUCCUCCGCCCACCAAAGUCUUUGAGAUCAGCUCAUUGAUGUCUUGGGUAUCUUGAUUGGCUCCUCCCUGUUGGACUGUUGUCUAGGGUCCUCCGGUUGGCUCACUGUCUAUCCAAUGCUGUUCCUUGUUUUAUCCCUUUACGUUAAUUUCUCGUUGGACGCCCGCAGCUUUCAUUACUUUAUCC